UACGUAGGGUGCGAGCGUUAAUCGGAAUUACUGGGCGUAAAGCGUGCGCAGGCGGUUUUGUAAGCCAGAUGUGAAAGCCCCGGGCUUAACCUGGGAAUGGCAUUUGGGACUGCAAGGCUUGAGUGCGGCAGAGGAGACUGGAAUUCCUGGUGUAGCAGUGAAAUGCGUAGAUAUCAGGAGGAACACCGGUGGCGAAGGCGGGUCUCUGGGCCGUAACUGACGCUGAGGAGCGAAAGCAUGGGGAGCGAAUAGG
rnacentral:rRNA from 1 species